UAGGGGAUAUUGCACAAUGGGGGAAACCCUGAUGCAGCAACGCCGCGUGAAGGAAGAAGGUCUUCGGAUUGUAAACUUCUGUCCUCAGGGAAGAUAAUGACGGUACCUGAGGAGGAAGCUCCGGCUAACUACGUGCCAGCAGCCGCGGUAAUACGUAGGGAGCGAGCGUUGUCCGGAUUUACUGGGUGUAAAGGGUGCGUAGGCGGAUCUGCAAGUCAGUAGUGAAAUCCCAGGGCUUAACCCUGGAACUGCUAUUGAAACUGUGGGUCUUGAGUGAGGUAGAGGCAGGCGGAAUUCCCGGUGUAGCGGUGAAAUGCGUAGAGAUCGGGAGGAACACCAGUGGCGAAGGCGGCCUGCUGGGCCUUAACUGACGCUGAGGCACGAAAGCGUGGGGAGCAAACA
rnacentral:rRNA from 1 species